rnacentral:rRNA from 1 species
CAGUCGCCACGGUAAUACGUAGGGUGCGAGCGUUAAUCGGAAUUACUGGGCGUAAAGCGUGCGCAGGCGGUUAUAUAAGACAGAUGUGAAAUCCCCGGGCUCAACCUGGGACCUGCAUUUGUGACUGUAUAGCUAGAGUACGGUAGAGGGGGAUGGAAUUCCGCGUGUAGCAGUGAAAUGCGUAGAUAUGCGGAGGAACACCGAUGGCGAAGGCAAUCCCCUGGACCUGUACUGACGCUCAUGCACGAAAGCGUUGGGAGCAAACAGGAUUAGAUACCCGCGUAGUCCCUGUCUCUUAUAC